AUGUAUUUAACCAUCUUGACAAAGUAAGAUCACAAUUCCUUUUUGCAUUCAUUUACACACAUGAAGUUAGUCACUUAGGCUGUUUAUAACAUUAUCUACCCUGGAGCAACCUUUCGACUGGACCUGCACAGAAUAAAUACUACCUAUUGACAUUAACGUGGAAAAAUUAAGAUGGAUCAUUAUGAACAAUCUGGUUAGAUCUUGUAGCAUGGAUGCUGAAUAUUGUAGUAUAUUAUUGUGAAACUUUACAAGCCUGGCUAGCUAGCCAAUAUUGUUCGUAUUGAAUUUGGGCCAGACAUUUUACAGCUAACGCCAAUGACAUUUUGCAACUUAAAUGUAAUGAUGCCCCAAUCUGAAUAUAGAUUUUGUUAGUUGAU
rnacentral:misc_RNA from 1 species